rnacentral:rRNA from 1 species
UACGUAGGGGGCAAGCGUUGUCCGGAAUUAUUGGGCGUAAAGAGCGUGUAGGCGGUCCGGUAAGUCAGCUGUGAAAGUCAAGGGCUCAACCCUUGAAAGCCGGUUGAUACUGUCGGGCUAGAGUCCGGAAGAGGCGAGUGGAAUUCCCGGUGUAGCGGUGAAAUGCGCAGAUAUCGGGAGGAACACCAAUGGCGAAGGCAGCUCGCUGGGACGGUACUGACGCUAAGGCGCGAAAGCGUGGGGAGCGAACAGG